AUGCUUAGGAAGUAACUAGAAUAUGUAGUGUAGCGGUGANAUGCUUAGAUAUUACAUGGAAUACCAAUUGCGAAGNCAGGUUACUACUAAGUGAUNGACGCUGAUGGACGAAAGCGUGGGAGCGAACAGGAUUAGAUACCCUGGUAGUNCACGCNGUAAACGAUGGAUACUAGCUGUUCGGCGCAAGUUGAGUGGCUAAGCGAAAGUGAUAAGUAUCCCACCUGGGGAGUACGCACGCAAGUGUGAAACUCAAAGGAAUUGACGGGGGCCCGCACAAGCGGUGGAGCAUGUGGUUUAAUUCGAUGAUACGCGAGGAACCUUACCAGGGCUUAAAUGUAGAUUGACAGGUCUGGAAACAGACUUUUCUUCGGACAAUUUACAAGGUGCUGCAUGGUUGUCGUCAGCUCGUGCCGUGAGGUGUCAGGUUAAGUCCUAUAACGAGCGCAACCCCUGUCGUUAGUUGCCAGCGAGUCAUGUCGGGAACUCUAACGAGACUGCCAGUGUAAACUGUGAGGAAGGUGGGGAUGACGUCAAAUCAUCACGGCCCUUACGUCCUGGGCCACACACGUGCUACAAUGGUUGGUACAGAGAGCAGCCACUGCGCGAGCAGGAGCGAAUCUACAAAACCUAUCUCAGUUCGGAUCGGAGUCUGCAACCCGACUCCGUGAAGCUGGAACCGCUAGUAAUCGGAUAUCAGCCAUGAUCCGGUGAAUACGUUCCCGGGCCUUGUACACACCGCCCGUCAAGCCAUGGAAGCUGGGGGUGCCUGAAGUCGGUGACCGCAAGGAGCUGCCUAGGGUAAAACUAGUAACUAGGGCUAAGUCGUAACAAGGUAACC
rnacentral:rRNA from 1 species